GACGAACGCUGGCGGCGUGCCUAAUACAUGCAAGUAGAACGCACAGUUUAUACCUUAGCUUGCUACACCAUAGACUGUGAGUUGCGAACGGGUGAGUAACGCGUAGGUAACCUGCCUGGUAGCGGGGGAUAACUAUUGGAAACGCUAGCUAAUACCGCAUAAUAUUGAUUAUUGCAUGAUAAUUAAUUGAAAGGUGCAAUUGCACCACUACCAGAUGGCCCUGCGUUGUAUUAGCUAGUAGGUGAGGUAACGGCUCACCUAGGUGAGGAUACAUAGCCGACAGGAGAGGGUGAGCGGCCAGACUGGGACUGAGACAGGGCACAGACGGCUACGGGAGGGAGCAGGAGGGAAACGUCGGCAAGGGACGAAAGUCUGACCGAGAAACGCGGCGGGAGGGAAGAAGGUUUUCGGAUCGGAAAGCUCGGUUGUAAGAGAAGAACGGGUGUGAGAGUGGAAAGUUCACACUGUGACGGUAACUUACCAGAAAGGGACGGCUAACUACGUG
rnacentral:rRNA from 1 species